GCAGCAUACAUCAAUUCAUGAUAAAAUCUGUUCAACUAAGCCGAAUAUUCAAAAACACCCCUUAUGGAACCCAUAAAAGCCCCACUUGAAUUUUUUUUUGACUUGGCCUUAAACCCUAGUGGUUUAUCAAAUUCCAAUUUCUCCCCAAUUCGUUAAACCCUAGGCCGACGUUCAAGAGAGAGAUGGGUGGUAGUGAUAGCGAAGUAGAGAAAACGGCACAAAAAGAUACGGAGAGAAAGAAGCUAUUGGCUGUCGCCCCUAUUGCUAAACCACUCGCUGGAAAAAAAAAACUCAGCAAACGAACCUUCAAACUCGAUAGACGAGUUACGGAACAUAAAUGCUUGAAGAGAGGAGUUAAAGAAGUAGUGAAAAGUAUUCGACGCGAUUGUGUGUCAUAGCUGGAAACAUUUCUCCUAUCGAUGUCAUUACUCACGUUCCACCUCCUAUGUGAGGAAGCUGAUAUGCCAUACGUUUAUGUUCCUUCAAAAGAAG